rnacentral:tRNA from 1 species
UGGACCCGUAGUGUAAUGGAUAUCACGUUGGAUUCCGGUUCCGGAGAUGAGGGUUCGAUUCCCCCCGGGUUCAU